rnacentral:rRNA from 1 species
UACAGAGGUCUCAAGCGUUGUUCGGAUUCAUUGGGCGUAAAGGGUGUGUAGGUGGCGCCGUAAGUCGGGUGUGAAAUUUCGGAGCUUAACUCCGAAACUGCAUUCGAUACUGCGGUGCUUGAGGACUGGAGAGGAGACUGGAAUUCAUGGUGUAGCAGUGAAAUGCGUAGAGAUCAUGAGGAAGACCAGUGGCGAAGGCGGUUCUCUGGGAAUGUCCUGACGCUGAGGAGCGAAAGUGUGGGGAGCGAACAGG